rnacentral:SRP_RNA from 1 species
UUUUCAGACCUGUGCAACGAUUUUGCCAGUCACCGGGUCAGGCGGGGAACCGAGCAGCCCAGCUUUCAGUGUUGUGUGCCGCAGCCAUCUGGAAAGAA